rnacentral:rRNA from 1 species
UACAGAGGUCUCAAGCGUUGUUCGGAUUCAUUGGGCGUAAAGGGUGCGUAGGUGGCGCCGUAAGUCAGGUGUGAAAUUUCGGAGCUUAACUCCGAAAACUGCAUUUGAUACUGCGGUGCUUGAGGACUGGAGAGGAGACUGGAAUUUACGGUGUAGCAGUGAAAUGCGUAGAGAUCGUAAGGAAGACCAGUGGCGAAGGCAAGUCUCUGGACAGUUCCUGGACGGCUCAUGCACGAAGGCCCAGGGGGAGCAAACGGGG